AUGAUUUUUCUGCUCCUGAGCGUCCAUUUAAACUAUAUUCUAGUUUCAGGUUCCUCUUUCAGUGAUAAAGUCGACCAGACUCCAGCUAAUAUUUACACAAAAGGAGAGGAUGCUAAAAUCUACUGCUCACACAGCAUUACAAACUAUAACCGAAUCCUCUGGUACAAGCAGUCAAAAACACAGCUACAACUGCUCGGACUUUUAUUUUUUAGCCUCACACCUGGAAUCAGCGAUUAUAACCAAUGUACUCCAGAGACUGGCGUGAAUGUCAUUAUAGAUGGGGGUGCAGAAAAAGAAGAGAACUGCACAUUAACAAUCACGGAUCUCAAAGUGAGCAGCAGUGGAGUGUACUUCUGUGCUCCUCUCACACCUGGAAUCAGCCAUUAA